UCAACUCUGUAUAUAAUGAGAGCGUCUAGGCAGAAUGAUAAAAGCAGACAUUCAUUUAACAAAAACACUUAGCCAUAACUUACAAGGAUUUCAAUGCACCAUUCGGCUUUCUCUAGUUUUACCUGAAAUAUUGUGAAACAAUGACAAACGGAAAUCAAGUCUAAUGAAAAAAGAAGAAAUCUUAAGCAGACAGGUCCAAACAUCCUUAGGGAAAAAGAGUAAUAAAUGACCAGAAAUUAUACCAUUUGGAAGUCUCUAGCAGUUAAAGUGACUUCCUCUGCCAACCAAUAUUUAUGUUGCAAAUGUCUUUUUUUGCAAAGAUUGGUGAGACGUAAUCUCCAUAAAUAUGUUCCUAAUUCACAUGCCUGAUCAUAAGAGAAAGAUAGUCAGACGGAACAAACCAAAGAAAUUAAAGAAGACGAAGUUCUUUCAAAAUAGUCAUCCUGAAGGCCACGCAAUCAUACAACUUGUGUGCAUGAGUGUUACGUUUGUAUUUAUGCGUAUCAGCGUAUGGUUCAUGUGUCUCCACACAGCUUUAAACUACUGAGUAAAUAAUGGCUACACAUCAUUUCCUUCUUGAAUUGACUCAAAUCAUCU
rnacentral:lncRNA from 1 species